rnacentral:rRNA from 1 species
AUUGAACGCUAGCGGGAUGCCUAACACAUGCAAGUCGAACGGAGUGGCGCACGGGUGAGUAAUGUCUAGGAACGUGCCCAGUAGUGGGGGAUAACUACGCGAAAGCGUAGCUAAUACCGCAUACUAUUGGCGCGGCCUAUGUCGGAUUAGCUAGUUGGUGGGGUAACGGCCUACCAAGGCGACGAUCCGUAGCUGGUUUGAGAGGACGAGCAGCCACACUGGGACUGAGACACGGCCCAGACUCCUACGGGAGGCAGCAGGGGGGAAUUUUGGACAAUGGGGGAAAGCCUGAUCCAGCCAUGCCGCGUGUGGGAUGAAGGCCUUCGGGUUGUAAAGCACUUUUGGCAGGGAAGCGGUACCUGCAGAAUAAGCACCGGCUAACUACGUGCCAGCAGCCGCGGUAAUUC